AUGAAAGGCAGUUUGGAAAGGCUCACAUUAGAGAGAAGGGUGCCGAAGGCAGUGCUCUGGAGAGAGAGGAAGAGGCAGAGGCGCUAAUUAAGGAGCCUGGAUGAGUUUGCCCCGAAUCUCCAACCUUUCCUAAACAUCUGCCCUGCCGGCCAGAGGCAGCCACGGUCUGCCGCUAGUCUUCUUGCUCUUUUGAGAAACCAUCAGAAAGCAUCUGCAAAUAACUGUGAUUGCCUUAAAAUGGAGAGAAGCCCAUUUUCCAAUUACAGCCUGGGUGAUUGCUCCGGCUUUUAAUUAA